UACGGAGGGUGCGAGCGUUGUCCGGAAUCACUGGGCUUAAAGCGUGUGUAGGCGGAUGCCUAAGUACCUUGUGAAAUCCCACAGCUCAACUGUGGAACUGCUUGGUAUACUGGGUGUCUUGAGCCACUUAGGGGUUACCGGAACAAAUGGUGGAGCGGUGAAAUGCGUAGAUAUCAUUUGGAACGCCAAUGGUGAAAACAGGUAACUGGGAGUGUGCUGACGCUGAGACACGAAAGCCAGGGGAGCGAACGGG
rnacentral:rRNA from 1 species